rnacentral:misc_RNA from 1 species
UCCGAGUUGACCCCGGCAGUCUCCCAUGAGUCCCCGCCAUAACGCGCUGGCAACAUGGAACGAGGGUUGCGCUCGUUGCGGGACUUAACCCAACAUCUCACGACACGAGCUGACGACAGCCAUGCACCACCUGCACACCAACCACAAGGGAAGCCCUAUCUCUAGGGAUGUCUGGUGCAUGUCAAACCCAGGUAAGGUGGGGAUGACGUUUGAGAGUACGUCC